GGAAAUUGAUUAAAUCAAGCCCGGUACUUUUAAUUCAUAUGUGACCCCGUAUCAAAAGUUUAUGGGUUGAUAAGUCCAAAGUUGAAGUACAAGGGCUGGUUUAAUUAAUUUCCA
rnacentral:pre_miRNA from 1 species